rnacentral:rRNA from 1 species
AAAUUGAAGAGUUUGAUCAUGGCUCAGAUUGAACGCUGGCGGCAGGCCUAACACAUGCAAGUCGAACGGUAACAGGAAGCAGCUUGCUGCUUUGCUGACGAGUGGCGGACGGGUGAGUAAUGUCUGGGAAACUGCCUGAUGGAGGGGGAUAACUACUGGAAACGGUGGCUAAUACCGCAUAACGUCGCAAGACCAAAGAGGGGGACCUUCGGGCCUCUUGCCAUCAGAUGUGCCCAGAUGGGAUUAGCUAGUUGGUGAGGUAACGGCUCACCAAGGCGACGAUCCCUAGCUGGUCUGAGAGGAUGACCAGCCACACUGGAACUGAGACACGGUCCAGACUCCUACGGGAGGCAGCAGUGGGGAAUAUUGCACAAUGGGCGCAAGCCUGAUGCAGCCAUGCCGCGUGUAUGAAGAAGGCCUUAGGGUUGUAAAGUACUUUCAGCGGGGAGGAAGGUGUUGCGGUUAAUAACCGCAGCAAUUGACGUUACCCGCAGAAGAAGCACCGGCUAACUCCGUGCCAGCAGCCGCGGUAAUACGGAGGGUGCAAGCGUUAAUCGGAAUUACUGGGCGUAAAGCGCACGCAGGCGGUCUGUCAAGUCGGAUGUGAAAUCCCCGGGCUCAACCUGGGAACUGCAUUCGAAACUGGCAGGCUUGAGUCUUGUAGAGGGGGGUAGAAUUCCAGGUGUAGCGGUGAAAUGCGUAGAGAUCUGGAGGAAUACCGGUGGCGAAGGCGGCCCCCUGGACAAAGACUGACGCUCAGGUGCGAAAGCGUGGGGAGCAAACAGGAUUAGAUACCCUGGUAGUCCACGCCGUAAACGAUGUCUACUUGGAGGUUGUGCCCUUGAGGCGUGGCUUCCGGAGCUAACGCGUUAAGUAGACCGCCUGGGGAGUACGGCCGCAAGGUUAAAACUCAAAUGAAUUGACGGGGGCCCGCACAAGCGGUGGAGCAUGUGGUUUAAUUCGAUGCAACGCGAAGAACCUUACCUGGUCUUGACAUCCACAGAACUUUCCAGAGAUGGACUGGUGCCUUCGGGAACUGUGAGACAGGUGCUGCAUGGCUGUCGUCAGCUCGUGUUGUGAAA